UGUGAGGUAGACGAAGCUGUCUGGGGCGAGGGCCGAGGGGACGCGUGUGCUCACCCUGAGUCGUCCGAGUCAGACCUGAGGCAGCUUUGGAGCUUUUUCACCCACAGCAGCUGCAGCUUCCUGCUAGAGGCAGCAAACAGAACGAGUUCUCCCUGCAGACGGCUCCAGUCAUGUUGAUGGGAGGCCAGCGGGACGCUCUCUGGAGAAACACCCACAGUUAGAGGCACAAACGCUGGCUGGAGCGUGCUAGUCGCUCUGUCCCACCUCUGCAGCAGCUGCUCUGUCUUUGAACAGGCUCAACGUGUCUCCCUCCAGAACAGCAAACACCUCCUCCCAGUGCUCCAGGUCCUGCACCACCACAAGUCACAUUUCUAUGUGAACGGAACUAAACACACAUCUGUCCAUCAUCGUUAGUACCAGUGGUUAAUUCAGCAUAAAGUUCUCCUACCUUGUGUCCUGUGUGCUUUAGCUUGAUUUCCAGCCUUCCCUCCAUUCUCACAGACUUGACUGUUACCUGCCACAUUUAAGGUCCAAUUACAGUUUAAGCACCAGCUUGGUUGUUUGAUCGAUUUUCAUUCAUGGGCACUGUUCUACCUCGGGGGUGGAUUGUUCUGCUGCUACGUCUUCUACCAUCUGUUGUUGCAGCUCUUUGGCUGUGUCACAAUCCUCUGCUGGAGGUGGAACAGUUGGGUCAGGAUCUGCGACCUGUGUGUCGAGGGUUGGGAGUGGUUUCCCCGUUGGUGGUGGAGGUGGUGGAGGUUCAGUGGGAGCAACAGGCUGUCUCCUCGCAGGUGAGUCAGGUGGCGUAGCCGACAGAGCCAGUUGCUUUGGAGGCUUUGGAGGCAGAGGAGGUCUCGAUGUGGGUCGACGGUUCUCCUCCACAGCCUCUUUACCUGAAGAGAGGACAGAGGCGAUGGGCAGAGUUCAGGUGAAGGAGACCUGUGGAGAAGAGUGUGGGAGAAGAGGAGCCUGUCCAACCUCUGAGUGGAGGCUCAGACUGGGAUCUGAUUUGGCUGCUGGAUCUGGGACCAUAAGGACUUUCAGCCAGUGCCUCUGGAGCUGUGCUGCUGGUGUUGAGUCUGGACUCUGGUUUUGGGCAGAGAGGACUGAGAAGAGGAGCAGCGCUGCUGUGACGAGUCUCCAUCAUGGGACUGUCCGUCAUCCUGUCCAGCGUAGACAGUUGCUUUGUUCCUCCUUCGCUGGCUGGAGGAAGGAUGUCUCUACACGACACCUCUGGGUCCGACAGUUUAUGUUUCGGGGAGGAAGGUCGAGCUGGAAGCCUCCUGUCCUGGAGGCCUUUGUCCUCCAUUCCAUGAAGAGCCACUCUCUCUUCUCUCUAAGAUUAAAAAUGAAACAUGUUAGCGUCACAACCCACCGUCCCCAGUUAAGUGUUUGAUACCAAACCAACCUGUGUCGUUUUCUUCUCUAGAGCAGUGAAGCGUUCGCUUUGAGCCUGGAUCAUAGCCUCCACGUCCUCCUGCCUCUUUAGAAGCUCCAUUACAUCAGAAACAGACUCCUAGAAGACAAACACCUGUAACCCAACCACCUUCAUCUCCAUGGAUCCCCAGUAAAGGACUCUGCUUUGAGCAGUGCUGGUGUAGAUGCAGACUUACUCCAUAGUCGUCAGCUGUCAGAGUGUUUUCAUACGAGCUCAGCCAUCGCUCUGCCUGCUCCAGCUCCCUCUGCAGGAACAUGAUCUCCAGCUCCUCCUCAUACAGCUGCCUGGUUUGUUCCCACACCUUCUGCACCUGUACCUCAAGCUCCUCCAGCUCACAGACGCGUUCCUCCACCUGGAUGCAGGGAGGUCAGGUAGCUUAUUAUUAGCAGGCUCUUGUUAAGGUCAUGCUCUUGAUGUUGCUGGACAAUAAUGUUACUUCUUGGGACAUAAAGCUUCCGUCCUCUAUGAGAUGCUUCCCUUCCUCCUUCAGAGCCUGUGAUUUGCUGAGCUGCCUGUCGAUCUGGACUCGAUGCUCUUUGUGCUUCUUCAUGAGCUGCUCGAGGUCGGUUCGCUCCACGUUUGGCACAGACAGCAUCUCCUUCAUCGAUGACCUGGAAGACAAUAUACCCAGCUCAGACCUGGCAAACAGAAUCUAGAUUCUCCUUCACAUUCUAGAUGCUGUAAUACUUCUCACUCAUUUAGGUUUUCAGUAUAAAAUCUGGUUGAAUGGUGUGGGGACAAUGACAUUGUUUAGAACACCACCAAAACAAGACGAUCACUGUGGACUGCAGGAGAGCAAGGAAAACGACACAACCCCCCUCCACAUACAAGGUGAGGAGGAUGGGAGAGUCAACAGUGUCAAUUCCUGGGUCUGCACAUAAAAAAGGACUUGAAGUGGACCAUUUAUUGUGUGGAGGCGUUAAACACUCUUUAUCUCUAUAAAAGCAUUCCUGCAGCAUCUGUGUUCGUAUGGGGAGAAUUAAUUUACUUUUUAAUGUGAUGCUACUGAAAAGAGCUGAAAAGAAAAAUCAUAGAACCUACAUAAGUUCGGUCCAGCGGUAAAAAUACUUCUGCACAGUUUCUGCUUGGCCCAGUCUGUUGCGGCGCUGGGAGGCCUUGUCCUGGAUGCUGGACCAGCAGCUCUCUAGCUCCUCCAGCUUUAGUGUCACAGAGUCUGUGGCUUGAGGCUGUUGUUGGAUCAGAGCUUUGACCUCUUCUCUGCUUCUGGUCACUUCCUCAGAGAUCAAACUUAGAUCCCUCUGACAGGAGACAGACAGUGGAAUUAAUUUCAAGCAUGAGUGUGAAUGUUACCUGUAGCGUCACUGUUCUUUUAUACUGAGUUAAUGUCUGAGCCCUAAUGAAUGAUCCUGUUUCAGGCUUUAAGUGCCUCCCACCUCCAGAGCCUCGUGUUGCCUCAGCAGAGUCUGAGUCGACUGCAGGUCCUGGUCAUCUGAGUCCAUCACAGCCUCUUUCUCAGCCAUCCAGCCCUUCAGCUCAUCCACGUCAUGAUUAAACUGAUGAACAUCCUUUGCACGCUGAAGCAUCUGUUAAACACAGAGUGUUUCUGUUCAGGGAUCUGUGUGUCACAUCAGAGCAGCACAAAGCGCAGCCGAGUUACCUGUUCUCUGGCUUUGAUGCAGCUGUGGAGAUCGUCCCAAAGCCUGCUGACAGCAUCGUCACUGCUCCGGGCCUGACUUUGCUUCUGCAGCCCUCGGCCCAGCCGUUGCACUGUAGUCAGCCGGCUCCGACCCAGACUCGACACCUCUGACACUAAAACCUCCAGCUUCUUCUGAAGAAGCUGAAGAUAAAGAGAGGAUGUAUGAGAUGAGAAAGGCAGUGCUGCUGCUGCCACACACAAGCUAUUUCAUUACAAGUUAACACAGUGGCUUCAUGGACCAAAAUAUUAGAACCAGCUCAAAUUAAUGCAAUGGGAUGAUUCUACAGUUCUGAUGCAAUUAAUAUGUCACCAUGGUGACACUCAAUGAGUCCUCUGUGACAAUAGGAACCAAACUCACCUCUACAUCCUCGAGAUCAUGUCCACAGUCUUGGGACUCUGCCUCAGCCAUCUUGGAAGUCAGCCAUGUUUGUAGUUCUUUGGCUUCUCUCUCAAACACAUAAAGUUGAAGCUGUUCUUCUAGAGCAGCUCGACGAAAAGCUGAAAGUUGCAACAGCUUCUGAAAGUGCUGUUGAACGGCAGGAAGAGCCUCACUGACCAUGUGACUAAGACGGAGGCAGACAGGACAACACGAGACAGGGUUUUAAAUAUGAACCAGCUCUGCAAACAUUUCCAGUAGGUUUAGUGUUGUACCUGUUGGGAUGUCCAAGGUGCUGCAGCGAGGCACCACCUUCCUGUAGCUUCUCCACAGUCCUCCUUUGGUUCUCCAGAUCUGCAUCCACAGAGUCGAGCUUCCUCCUCAGAGCCUCUGUCGCCUCCUCAUUCCUCCCACAUUCACAGGAGGCCAAACCUGCCCCCUGCUCUUCCAACCACAGCUCCAGCUCCGACACCUCAGCAAAAACACCAACAGGUACACAGCUCAUUCCUCGUUCCCUCUGCACAAUACUCCACCAUGUGAUUCAGCAUUACUGUACCUCACUGAGGAAGGUGUGGAUGCUGAGCGCCCCCUGCAGGAGUUUGCCCUUCUUCUCUGCCUCAAUCAUCAGUUUUUCAUGUAGAGUCUUCAGUUCCUCCAGACGCUCUCGAAUAUCAUGAGAUGCAAAGUGACGACCUCUUACCUAGUAGAGUUAAGGUAUAAACAAGUAACCUAAGAGAGUACAAGACUAGUGGAGGCCAAGAGGUUUACCAGGCUGCAUCGAGCACCCGAGAGCAGCUCCUCACCAGAUUAUUCCCUGCAUCUUGGACUGCCUGGACCAGCGGAGCUCGGCUGGAGAUCUCCAGCAUCACAGUCUGAGGAAAAUAGUCAAAAGUUGGAUUUACCUUCACAUGUUGUCACAAGUUGAUAUGACAGUCAGAGAGCAGGUGGGACAGGAAAUCAGCUCAUUUCUACUUUACCACAAGAGAACAACACAGCUGCACUAAGUUCUACAGAAGACCCAGCUACUCUCAUUCAACACAUGGUGACUGCAGUGGGAAACAGGUAUAUUAGACUGUAUGCACCAUCACAUUUUAGUGACUACCAAACAGUUCAUGAGUUCAUGUUCUAAACAAUCACUGGAGGAAGAAACCCAACAGAAAGCCGCCGCUACCUGGUGUUUGUGGAGCAGCUGCUGGGUGAUGCUCAGGGAGCUUCCCCAAUCCUGAGCAGUGAUGGAGGGCAGCCUGUCUCCCAGCCAGGCCACCUCCUCCUCCAGGUCUCUGUAGAACUGGAACAGAAGCUGCCAGGCCUCCAGCGCAUCCCUGCGGCUCUGCAGAGGCUCAGAUAGGCGGUUGUACCUGACAGAACAUGUAAAGGAAACCCAGCACCAAGUGGUUUAUGUGUCUAUGCUGCAUUUGAAUUUAGUUUUUUAAUCAUCUUCAGACCUGUUGAUGGUGUGUGUGACUCUUGUCAGCAUUUCCUCAGCUCGGAAGUUUCCCUGGGAGUGAAACGUCUUGGCUGUAUCCACGAGACCCUGUAAAUACAUGAUAGGAAAGAAAAACACUGCUUGUGGCAAUGAGUCCACCAGGUUUAAAGUCUGUGGAUUCAUCCCGCUGAUAAAAGGAGGCCUCCUACUGUCACUCAGUGUGCUUCACCUGAAUUCUGUCUCUGUGCUCAUCCACCUCCUCCUCCAGGCUCUGCAGACACUUCAGCAGCCUGUUGACUGACUGCAGGUCACUGCCACAGUCCUCACUGAGCAGCUCUCUUUCCACUGAGCCCAACCACUGCUCCAUGUCAUCCAGUGACCGCUGGAAUUGCAGAGCCUAAACACCAGUGGACAAUGAAUAUGGAGAUAAUUAUCCUGGAGGGACAGAAAAGGACUGAAAACUGACAAAACUGAAUUGUCUAUCAGAUCAUCCCAGGUGUCCGUCAGCUCCCGGAGUCGUGAUCCAAUCUUGGCUUCAGCUGAACGGCAUGUCCAGAACCUUCCGGACCUCCUUCUCUUUGUUCUUGAGUUUGUCGCUCAUCACUGAUCGAGACUUGAGGUGAUGUGACACGUCCUUCUCCAGAACCUGCGACGAGAGCGAGACAGAUUGACUCAGCUUCAUCACUUAAAA